GUUGGCUUGAACCCUUUAUCGUGAUUAUUUUUUAACUGAAUUUACCGUGAACAUGACAAUCACGCAGCUUAUCAUCUGUAUGUGUCCUCAUUGUGAACCGUUCUCAUGUGUCUCUGUAAACUAAGAAGCUGACUAAACCCUAUACCACAUACACCCCAGUCACGAGGUUUAUCGCCUGUAUGUAUUCUCAUGUGAAUCUGUAAACUGUAAAUUACUAUGUAUGUAUUCUCAUGUGAAUCUGUAAACUGUAAAUUACUAUGCAUGUAUUCUCAUGUGAAUCUGUACACUAAUAUGUAUGCAUUUUCAUGUGUCGCUGUAAAGAAGCAUGUUGAAUAAAUCCUUUACCACAUACAUCACAGUGAUGAGGUUUAUCUCCAGUAUGUAUUCUCGUGUGUCUUCUUA
rnacentral:lncRNA from 1 species